GGCGCUUUGGCGGAGUGGUUAACGGUAUGUUCAUCACCCAUGGGAGCCCAUAGACUUACUAAUCAAGAGCAGCGAUAGCCUAGAAAGCUAUUUCUUUCGGGAGCGCAGGUUCGAGUCCUGCAGGCGUCG